GCGAAUCGCCCUUCGGGGUGCCCAGGCGCGAAAACUUUACAAUGCCGGCAACGGCGAUAAGGGAACCUCGAGUGCCAGGUUACAAAUCUGGCUGUCGUGAUGCCUAAAAAGCAUUGCAUAGCAAGGGCCGGGCAAGACCGGUGCCAGCCGCCGCGGUAACACCGGCGGCUCGAGUGGUAACCGUUAUUAUUGGGUCUAAAGGGUCUGUAGCCGGCCGGAUAAGUCUCUUGGGAAAUCUGGCAGCUUAACUGUCAGGCUUUCAGGAGAUACUGUCUGGCUCGAGGCCGGGAGAGGUGAGAGGUACUUCAGGGGUAGGGGUGAAAUCUUGUAAUCCUUGAAGGACCACCAGUGGCGAAGGCGUCUCACCAGAACGGACCUGACGGCAAGGGACGAAAGCUAGGGGCACGAACCGGAUUAGAUACCCGGGUAGUCCUAGCCGUAAACGAUACUCGCUAGGUGUCGGCCACGGUGCGACCGUGGUCGGUGCCGUAGGGAAGCCGUGAAGCGAGCCACCUGGGAAGUACGGCCGCAAGGCUGAAACUUAAAGGAAUUGGCGGGGGAGCAC
rnacentral:rRNA from 1 species